UAGGGAAUCUUCCGCAAUGGGCGAAAGCCUGACGGAGCAACGCCGCGUGCGUGAUGAAGGUCUUCGGAUCGUAAAACUCUGUUAUUAGGGAAGAACAAAUGUGUAAGUAACUAUGCACAUCUUGACGGUACCUAAUCAGAAAGCCACGGCUAACUACGUGCCAGCAGCCGCGGUAAUACGUAGGUGGCAAGCGUUAUCCGGAAUUAUUGGGCGUAAAGCGCGCGUAGGCGGUUUUUUAAGUCUGAUGUGAAAGCCCACGGCUCAACCGUGGAGGGUCAUUGGAAACUGGAAAACUUGAGUGCAGAAGAGGAAAGUGGAAUUCCAUGUGUAGCGGUGAAAUGCGCAGAGAUAUGGAGGAACACCAGUGGCGAAGGCGACUUUCUGGUCUGUAACUGACGAUGAUGUGCGAAAGCGUGGGGAUCAAACAGG
rnacentral:rRNA from 1 species